UACGUAGGGACCAAGCGUUGUUCGGAUUUACUGGGCGUAAAGGGCGCGUAGGCGGCAAUUCAAGUCAGUUGUGAAAUCUCCGAGCUUAACUCGGAACGGUCAACUGAUACUGCUUUGCUAGAGUACAGAAGGGGCAAUCGGAAUUCUCGGUGUAGCGGUGAAAUGCGUAGAUAUCGAGAGGAACACCUGCGGCGAAGGCGGGUUGCUGGGCUGACACGUGACGCUGAGGCGCGAAAGCCAGGGGAGCAAACGGG
rnacentral:rRNA from 1 species